rnacentral:piRNA from 1 species
UAUGCUCAUCAUGUUAGCGUUAGGUUGC